GCUUGCCCAGCUGAGGCAUUGGAGCAGGGCAUUUUGAUAGUGGCUGGAGGGCAGGCAGCUCAACCUCUAAACCCCCCUGGUCUGGGCACCAAGUCCUGUCCUGGGCACGGGACACAGUCCUCCAGCGAGACCAAACCCAGCUUCUCUACAGCACCAGGAAGAAGGCAAGCUGGGCCACCAGGGCGCGGCCCCAGGAAGGAAAAUCCUCCAUGGUCCUGUUGACAGAUGUGGUAUCAAAUGAAUUGUUCUCUGCUUAGACACGACUUUGAUAUUUAUUGGUUCAAAUUGCUCGGCUGACUCAGUCUUGCGGACUCUGAUUACACUGGACCUAUCCAAGAUCUGAGAUCAUCAACUCAUCUCAAAAUCCUUAAGCUGACCACAGCAGCAUCGUCCCUUUUGCAGUGUAAGUUCCCCUCCAGGUUUGCACAGCAUCUGCUGAAGUCUCCACUAGAAACUCAAUGGAAGGUCCCCACCGGAAACUGAAAGUCUCCUAGAGUGGCUUUGAGUUGCGGUUUCACCCUCCCUGCAGAUCCACAGGGGAGGCUGGGGCAGAUGGAAAAUACCAACUUGAUGGUCUGUGGCCACACCAUGCUGCUCCCCAAGGCCCCUCAGAAUUUCACUGCCCAAUAUGGUAGCGCCCAGCCUGAAACGUGGCCAGUGUGAAUUGAGAUGGGCUGGAAAUGCACCAGACUUCCAAGAGCUGGACAAAAACCAUAUACUUUCCAUCCAGCUGUUUGGCAUUGGAUACUGCUGCCUCUGCUUGACUUGAGAAUGUGUGAGAAAAGCUGUGUUUAGACAACUGAAAACCAUGAGCUUGAAAGUAGUGGGGGCACACUCUUGGAGACUCCAGUUGCUCACCAGCUUGGACAAACCACUGGACUCAAAUGAUCAGGUAGAAAUUCAUCACUGGAGAGAACACAGUGGAAUGGCUUCAGCGAAAACUCACUCUGAAGGUCUUCAGGGCAACUUUAAGACUUGCCCCUGGCCGGGCACAGUGGCUUAUGCCUAUAAUCCCAGCACUUUGGGAGGCCGAGGCGGGUGGAUCACCUGAGGUCAGGAGUUCAAGACCAGCCUGGCCAAUAUGGCGAAACCCUGUCUCUACUAAAAAUCCAAAAAAUUAGCCGGGCGUGGUCGUGGGCGCCUGUAAUCCCAGCAACUCGAGAGGCUGAGGCAGGAGAAUUGCCUGAACCCGGGAGGCAGAGUUUGAAGACAGCCGAGAUUGCACCACUGGGCAACAAGAGCAAAACUCCAUCUCAAAAAAAAAAAAAAAAAAAAAAAUACUUGCCCCGGCUUUUUGUGUGAUGGACUUUCUAUUUACAGACGUGAUAUUUAUCUAUGACUUUACUCAGAGUCUGGCUCAUAGACCAGAAGGACUGGUAUCUCCUGGAGCUUGCAGGAAAUGCAAAAUCUCAAACCCCUGUAUUAGUCAGGGUUCUCCAGAGAAGUAGAGCCAAUGGGAUAGAGACAGGGAUAGGGAUGAUAGAGAUGGAGAUAGAGGUAGAGAUCCAUUGAUUCCUCUGUUAAUAAAUUGGCUCAUGCAGUUGUGACAAUUUCGAAAUCUGCAAGGUAUGUCAGCAAGCUGGAGACCCAGGGAACAGUUGAUGUUGCACCUUGAGUACAAAGGCAGUGUGUCUGGAGCCAUAAUAUCUUCUUGUUAGGAAGACUUUGGUCUUUUCUCUUCUGGCCUUCAACUGCUUGGAGAAGGAACACAGGCUCAGACAUCAGUGCCAUAUCUGAAGACAUUCAGCUAAUAACAGGAUGGAGUCCAAUCUGAAACAACUGUCACGCUGAGCCUAAUUGCUGAAGAUGGUUGAAGGCACCAGGAGGCUGGAGUUUCCUGGAGGUGGUUUGUGGCCAACCGUCAAUUACUUGGGCUGCUGUGCAGUGGGGAUAGAAGGAUGAUUAGAAUCCACAGACAACCCAUUGGCCUUUGUUUACCAUUAACUUCUGUUUUCUCCACCAGCCAAGCUCCUCCAGACCCAGGAGAUGGCUCUUCCCUCUGUGUAGCACACUCUUUCCAGUCAAGGGGUCUUGCACUGCUAUUUCCCCUUCUGCUUUGCUUGGUUCAUUCUUACUGACCCUCCAAAUACUGAAGGAAUGAAUGGAGAAAUAAGUAAAUGAGAGAUGUGGCCAAGAGUCUCCAAGAGAGGAAAUUAAAAAAUCCUAUACCUGUGAGGAACUGGCCCACUUGCAAAAGGCGGACUCAUUUGUCACUGUGUUUGCUGGCUGCUCGCACCACACAGUUUCCAGCCUAGGCAUUAUUUCCAACCUCUUUUUCCAAAGGGUCUUUCUAAGGUACAGAAAAUGGACAUAAAAUCGCCCAACGUAGUUGAGAGGUAAGGAGUAAAAGCCGGAAUUUGAACUCCUAAUCUCCUGCCACGAUUUCAUGCUGCCUCUGGGUAAUCUCCCAGCACGUUGCUUAAUCAGCUGCUGAGUCAUUGAGAGCCGGCAGAACCAGCUUCCUGCUGAGGCAGAGUGGGAGGAGGCCCGUCUGGGAGCAGCACACUGAAGGAAGGGAGGAGGAGGUGAUGUUUGGCACAAUCGGAUUGGUUCCCAUGAGGUCCAGGGCUGCGGCUCCUACAGAAGGCACUUUUUGCAUAUGGUAGGCUUCACGGGGUGCAACCUCUGUGUUGUUAGGAGAACCUCGUGCUUGCUAUGAUGCUCUGCUGUCAUUAUCUUGAAAUUCUUAGUCACAUUAAAACACGGGAGCCUACAUGUUUAUUUUGCACUGGAUCCUGCAAAUUAGCCAGUCCUGGUACUGAGGGCAGGUCCCUGGGUGAGUCUCACACAGCCUCCAUCCUUUGGUAAAGCAGCUUUCCUGAUUUAGCAAAUGCCUUACCAGAAAGCCUUUUCCUUGAAGAUGCUUUAACUUUUGUCUUCCCUGGCAAAGCUGUUUCCUUAUGGUAAAGCACCCAGCUCAUAGCUGAUAUUCAAUCCAUGAAGUAGCUCUGUCAGCAGCUGUCAUCAUGAAGACUUUGCAGCCUGCGGGUGGUAGCAUUCUGAAUCGUCAGUCUGUCUCGCUCCUGUAGCAAAUGCACGAUCCGGGAAAGCAUGUCCCAAGCUUUGUUCUGGAGAAGAUUUCUCCAGCUAUCAGAUGGUGUCUGUCAUCACAAUAGCUUAGGAGAUGCUGCUCACUCCAUCCUCCUCACUAAGUGUCACAGUACACUUGGGUAUGUACAAGUCUCUGAGAAGUCCAGCAGCAAAGACACCUUUGUGUUUUGCUGAUUCUAGCCUUUCCUAGACUAGAAGUCUUUUUUUCUAGUCUAGGAAAAGACUGUGGAAUCUUUUCUUUUUUUUCCUGAUACACACAUUCACAUUCCGUGGAACAUUUAGGACGUGGUUAUCUGGUCCUAAAGUAGUAAAGGUGAAGAUGUUGUGGGAGGUGCAAGAAAGAGCAGCAAGGAGUAGAUGGGGCACACUGCAAAGUGCGAUCCCCACAUACCUAAGUUAGUAUCAAUUACUACUAACAAAACUCGGCCAAGACUCUUUUGCAUUCGUUUUGUUUCUCUCUUUUACCCUGAUUAUAUUAAGAAAUAUGACAGGCCUGUGACUCACUGAUUAGACCAUCUUAGUCACUUUGGGUUGUCCCAGCAACAGGAGACUUAACUCUGACCAUAGGUAAGGAGCCCAGAGGACAGGAGAGCAGGGAUUUCUGAGGAUUUAACAAAUGCUUAUAAACAAAUGAUAUCACUUUGAACAAAGUAAUCAAAGUAUCAAAUGCUAUAAACACCACAGUAGGGCAAUGUGUGAAUCAUACUUGUGGUGAGACAUACAUAGAUCAGCUGCAAAGAGGAACUCAAUUCUGCAGAACCUCAGCUGGAGUAACUGAUGUGAAACAUGGACAGGGAAAUGGAAGGAAGUCAGCGGACACGGAAACUCUAGGAACUGAACUUUGACAAGGAACGCCGUCCAUAAUCCCAAGUCCUAUGACUUCAUAGAGGAAAAAAACCCUAGUGGAGCAGAACAGGGCCUCAUAGAGGGGCUGGGGCCUCACUGAGGGCUGGGAAGUUUGAUAGGACUUCCCUUGCUGGUAAGGAACAAAACUGGGUCUCAGGUUCAGGUUUGUAAAGCUAAUUUCAUACAUUUGCAGCAGAUGCUGUCAGUGUCCCUCCCCAAGCCCCUCAGCACUCAGCAUUCAUAGACAUCCUCAUCUUGCAAGCACCUGAGUCUCUCUCUGUAAGGUUUCUGUUGGCCUCAGGGCAGACCAGGGUACCAGGGAGGGCAGACCAGGGUACCAGGGAGCACAGCCCUCAAAGAAAGAUGACAGGAGUUGGUGUAAAUCUCAUGGCUUUCAUGUUACUUAGGGGGACCAAUGCUGAGGCAUGCUUAGCAUGAUCCUCUGUGAGACUGGGCCUCAGGUGUCCGCUGCAGCCGCCUGUUCAUUAGUGUGACAUGCACGGGAUUCCUUCCGUAUCCUGGCCCCUUUCUCUACUUCCCAACCGUGCUUCCUGAGACAUACUCAAAUCCUUGUCUCACACUUGGCUUCUGGGAGAAUCCAACUGCAAAUGCUGUGUUUUAUUUUUUAUUUAUGUAUUUAAUUAUUUGGAGAUAGGGUCUCCCUCUGUCACCCAGGCUGGAGUAAAAUGGCACAAUCCUAGCUCACUGCAAUAUUAAACUCCUGGGCUCCAGUAAUCCUCAGCCUCCAGGAGCUGGAACUACAGUCGUGCACAGCAAUGCCAGCUAAAGUUUCCUUUAAAUUUUUUGUAGAGUCAAGAUCUCACUAUUUCAGUCAGGUCUUGAACUCCUUGCCUCCCAAAGUUCUGGGAUUACAGCACUUGGCCUCCCAAAGUGCUGGGAUUACAGGCGUGAGCCACUGCAUCUGGCUGUUUAUUCCAUUAAAAUGAUUGAAGGAGUCUCUUGCUUUGGGAAUUUUGCUCCCGUGGUGAGAACACUAUGGGAAUGACAUCUCAAGAAUAUGGCUCCUUCAAAUGAAUUUAAAAUGGUCUUUCUAUUUUUGUCCAGUGGUUACAAUAGCUGAUGGGCUCGAGGUAAGGAGAUGCUAAGCUGCCAUUCUCUCCUUCAACCCAUGGCAUUUACUGAGCUUCUAAAUCAGUCAGGCCCUGGGCUGGACCCUGGGCAUGCAGACUGAAUCAGAGCCUUCAGGACUAGCAGGAGAGACAGGUAUAUAUAGUGGCAAGGGCAAUAUUUAUUCACUCAUUCAUUCUUUUUCCUUUUUUAUGUGCCAAAUCUUUAAUGAGGGCCUACCUUGUACUCAGGAACACCAGGAAUAAACAGAAAACAAAAAGAUAUCAUUUCUGGACUCAGUUCACCAUCUAGAGAAAAAAAAAAAAAAAAAAAAAGACCUGAAAUGGACAAAUACAGUACUGUUUGACAAAUGUCACGUAAGAAGAAGCCCAUGAUACUGAGGAUGGUAUAGGAGGGGCCGUAUCCAGGUUGAAGGAGUCAAAUAUGACAGCUGCCGUGAGAAUUACAAUCAGAAAACCAUGACCCGGAUGCUUAUCCUAUUCAUUGCUUGAGCCUGAGAACACAAACACACAGGGUGUGGCUGAAAUUCCUCUGAAAUUGUAUUGAUUUGAGAAAACUGCAAUCUUGUGUUAAAAUGUGAAUCAUACACAAGGAUGCAAAACAGUUACCGCUGACCAUAAAUCUAGGCUAUCAGAAUGGAAUCUGAUGGCUUGUCUACCAGACUGCAUUGUGAAACCAAUCAAAUGGGAGAUAGACUCACCACUUACCAAGUACCUCUGAGACACCAGGCACCCUGUGGGGUGCCCUACUCAUCAUCUUGUUUAACCAGUUGAUUGGGAAUAGCUCCAUUUUACAGAGAAAGACUGUUAGGCAGCUUUCUAAGAUGGCCCUAAUUAUUCCUUCCUUCUGGUAAUCCCCUUCCUUUAAAUGUGGGCUACACUUAAUUACCUGCUUUUAACAAACAGAAUAUAGCAAAAGUGAUGGGAUGUCAGGAGACUGAAUCAGUAACCAAAAACCUCCAGACAAAGAAAAGCCCAGGGCCAGAGGGCUUCACUGGUAAAUUUACCAAACAUUUAAAGAAGAAUUAGCACCAGUCUUUCUCAAACUCCUCAACAAAUUGAAGAGGAGAGAACACUUCUAAAUACACUUUAUGAGGCCAGCAUUACCCUAACAUCAGAGCCAGACAAAGACACAAGAAAAGAAAACUACAGACUAAUAUUUCUAAUGAAUCUUGAUGCACAAAUCCUCAAAAAAGAAGAAAACAUACUAGCAAACAUAAUUCAGCCGCACAUUAAAAGGAUUAAGCACCAUGACAAAGUGGGAUUUAUUCUUAGUAUAAAAGGAUAUUUCAACGUAAAAAAGUCAAUGUAAUAUAUCACAUUAAUAGAAUGAUGAGAAAAAAUCCACAAGAUUAUCCCAAUUGAUGCAUUUAACAAAACUUAAUACUCUUUCAUGAAAAAACACUCAACAAACCAGGAAUACAUGAAACUACCCCAACAUAAGACAGUCCACAAAUGAAAAGCUCACAACCAACAUAAUACUCAUGGUGAAAAGCUGAAAGCUUCCUCUAAGAUCAGGAAUGAGACAAAAAUGUCCACUUUUGAAUCAACCUGUAUUCAACAUAGUAUAAGAAGUCCUCGCCAGAAUUUUCAGGAAAAAAAAAAAAGAAAGAAAAAAAAGCCAGUCAAAUUGAAAAGAAAGAAGAAAAAUUAUCUUUGCUCACAAAUGACAUGAACUUAUAAAACUCCUAGAAUUAAUAAAUGGAUGCUGCAAUGUUGAAGGAUACAAAAAUCAACACACAAAAAUCAGUUAUGUUUUUAUAUACUAACAAUGAAUGAGCCAAAAAUGAAAUUAAAACAAUUCCAUUUACAAUAGCAUCAGAAAGACUAAAAUACCUAACAAUAAACUUAACCAAGGAGGUAAAAUGCUUGAGUAUUUAGACACUAAAAAUUAUAAGGCCUGCACGGUGGUUCAUACCUGUAAUCCCAGCAUUUUGGGAGGCAGGUGGAUCACUUGAGGUUAGGAGUUUGAGACCAGCCUGGCC
rnacentral:lncRNA from 1 species